UCGCACGCCUCCGCCUCGCGCACGUCUCCGUCACGGCGCGCCCCGCCGUCGCCGGCACCAUCUCCGCCACGCUCAAGGUCCGCAUCCGCAACCCGGACCUUUUCGUGCUCAACUACUCCCACCUCGACAUCAACAUCGGCUAUGGCAGAUCUCCAAGGACAACCUGCUCCCGCACCCGCUACCGCGCCCCAGCCGCGAGGAGAACAAGCCCUUCCUGCUUGUCCAGGUGAGCAUGUUAGGGUGCGGCGGCUUUGUGGUGGGGUUCCGGUUCAGCCACGGCAGACUGGCCGGGCGCCGCCGAGUUCAUGGGCACGGUGGGGGAGCUGGCGUGCGGGGCGGACAAGAUCUGGCCGCCCCCAACCAUGGGCCGCGACGCCAUUCCGGACCUGGCCGGUGAGCACAGCGGAUUUCAACGAAGGGAAGGAAGCAACCGGCGAUUCGCUCCGAGCCGAUCUGAUUCGCCAUGAAGCCUUCAAGAAGGAAUUCACCUUUGUGGUCCGGGUGCAGUUGAGAGGCUCCAGGAAUCCGCCGCCAUGAUCGCCAACUAUCCCGCCAGGGGCCUGUCAUUGUUGAAAGGUUUUCAAGGAGUAAUUUACCAGAAUUGGAGAAGAGGAAGUAAGUUACUACUCUCUUGUGCCUAUUACAUUACUAGAGAUGGAUCAGUUGUUUGAUGUCAUUGAUUCCACGUUGCACCAUGAUUGAUAUGCUAUAGUAAUUUCAUUGAUCAUCUAUUUGGAAGAUUGACUUGUAGUAAUACAACUUGGUGGGGAAGCAGCAAGCUUUUGGGCUGCCUGCGGUGGUGGCGGUGCUGCUGUCGGACCCGUUUGUGCAGUUUGACGUGGCGCGCAAGAUUACCUCCAUGCUCUGUCGUCCUACCUCGGCCGCGUUGUCCGUUGUUUGUCGUGUUCGUUGAGCGGGCGUGUCGGGUACCAUGACUAGGGGCACCCUAAUCAGGGGACUAAAAUCGCCCUAAAGACGCAAACACGUGCUGGGCAACCGGGCCCACGAAGGCCUACAGCCUCCUUCCAAUCUGGAAGAAAGGAAAGGACUCAAAGAAGCUCAACACACGGCCCACGUACGCAGUGCGGCCCAUUCGCACCCCCCUCUCGGACCCACAGGGGGAGCUCUGCUUCGCUCGAGGGCUCCCCGCCGAAGCCCUCGA